CUGUCUUUCUCAUCAGUGGGAGCUGGAUUCUCUCUCAGCCUUAGUUUCUCUAAUCCUGAACCCUGCUCCCUCCGCCGCGCACAAAAGCCAGGUCACCAAACUAUGUGGCACAGGAUCAAAAAAGACAGCCGGGGCUGGGGGUGCAGACCAGAGGUGGGAUCCUUGCCUGGCGCACACGAGAGAGGAGUGGGGGAGCCCCGCCUGCUCCUGCCGCACAGCAGGCCCACCCAGGUAAGAGGACUGGGGACGAGACCGCCCUGCCCUGCCCCUGCGUCCCCAGACUCCCCCAGCGGCAGAGACUGAUGGUCCCCAGCGUCCGCUCCCACCUUCCUCCGUAGUGACAGAACCUCCGCUGCGGGCGAGCGUGCCCCUCAGAGUCCAGAUGACAUUUCCCAGCCUCCCUCGCACCUAAGUGUGGCAGGUGAUUGCAUCUGCCAAAGGGGAUGUCAAGGGAGUGCAUCUUCCCUGUGGCGCCUCUAAGGGAAAGGGCAGGUCCUCUUCCUGCUUUACGUCCUCUCUCUCCCCUUCUGGUCAUGGAGCGCAGCGUGUGGUGGUGGUUUAUUCGCACCCUAAGGACUCAGGCAAGGACUGGAGCCAUGGCUCAGUGGUGGGGCAUUUGCCUAGCGUGCUCGUGGCCCUGGGUUGGAUCCCAACACUGCACAAACAACCCAGCAUUUUGAUUUUGUAUCCCUAACGGACUUGACCCAAAGAACCACAGAAUCUCCACGAAACAAUGAAAUCCCAAACUGCACGCAGUCUUCUAAUCAGUAGUGACUAUAUUAGUCCUGCUAUGUUGAAGCUUUAGCUUUCUAACACAAGAUAAAUAAGAAAUUGUGCAGCCGGUGCUGUGGCGCACACCUGUGAUCCCAGCAACUCAGGAGGCUGAGGCAGGAGGAUCACGAGUUUAAAGCCAGCCUCAGCAACUCAGCAAGACCCCUCUCUAAAUAAAAAAUAAAAAGGUUGGCGAUGUGGCUCAGUGGUUAAGCAUCUCUAGGUUCAAUCACUGGUAUCAGAAAAAAAAAAGUGCUAAAGCUGUUAAAAACUACAGUUUUCUGUGUAGGGAAAAAAGUGUACAAAAGAAAAGCAAAGAAGGUAAAUAAAACCUUGUG
rnacentral:lncRNA from 1 species